UCUAUAGAUGAUCUGAAGCGAAUGCAGCAAGCAAACAAAGCGGAAAUUAUUAAGUCAAGAAUGGAUAACAUUGAUGCAACACUUUCUCCAGACCUACUGUUCUUGGUAAAGCAAUCCCGAGACAAAGGAGCGAGUUCCUGGCUAAAUGCGAUUCCACUCAAAGAUCAAGGUCUAGCCCUCAAUCAGCAAGAAUUCAGAGACUCGUUACGAAUGAGAUACAAUUUAACUUUGAACGAUUUACCAAGUCAUUGUGCGUGUGGAGAUCGCUUUAACAUCAAUCAUGCCCUCUCUUGUAAAAAAGGUGGGUUCGUGGCACAAAGGCACGAUGGAAUCCGUAAUUUGCUAACAGCGCAACUGGAUAAAGUGUGUAAGAAUGUGGAAAUUGAGCCUCAUCUUCAACCCCUUGAUAAUGAGAGAUUUGACUUGAGAUCGGCCAAUAUAAGUCCCGAAGCGAGAUUGGACAUGAAGGCGGACGGUUUCUGGCUACGUGGAGCUACUGCAUUUUUUGACGUAAGAGUAACGCAUGUAAACUCCCGAUGUAACCAAGGCCGGCCAACCCAGAACACUUUUAAGGAACACGAGAACGAAAAGAAGAGAAAAUACCAACAGAGAGUUUUAGAUGUUGAAAUGGGCUCCUUUACCCCACUUGUUCUUGGAACCAAUGGUGGAAUGGGGUCUGAAUGCCACAAGUUUCUUACUCAGCUGGCGCAGAAAUUAGCAGCAAGAGACCAUGAACGUUAUGCAGUUUUCAUAGCUUGGUUGAGAACCAGAAUCUCUUUCGAAAUUCUAAGAUCGGUACAUGCGAGUGUAAGGGGAUCUAGAUCACCUUUCUAUAGAAAAGAACUUGAAGUGGUAGACGAUUUUGGACUAAAUGUUAAGAUUGCAGAGGUUUUUUAAAGUUUCUUAAACUUUAACUUUACGUGCGAAGUACUCCUUUUCUAUAAAAAUUAGGAAGAACAACAAUCAUUAUGACAUUCGAAGAGUUUAAACAGCCCAUUGGAAAAUGCAUGGUGAUUAGAAUAGUUAAUUUUGAUCUAGUUUUAUUUAAAAUUCUUUUAAAUAAGUAUAUAGUUAAUUUGAAUAAAUAGAAUUAUGUGACUGUCUUCUCUCGGUGCUGCCUAUGGCGGUAUCGUUGGAGAUCCUUCGGGAUCUUUCUAAAAACUCUCCUCUCUGCUACCUCAAUUAGGGGCGCGGCGGGGGUUUGUUAUUCUUCCCCAAAGUGCCCCCGGGUUGUGGUAGCAACCUCUUUUGUCUUCCUUUUUAAUUUAUGAUCAGUCUAAUCAAUAUAUGCAAAUGAAUCUUAUUAUAAAUAUGAGAGCCCAACAUAUAACAUUUAAGAAAGCCAUCAAAACAAUUGAAGUUUAAAAGUAAUGAUGACUUUCUUUAAGGUUAUAUGUUGGGCUCUCAUAUUUAUAAUAAGAAUCCGUUUUCCGCCUGGCAAAUCUCUAGCUACGAUAUAUGCAAAUGAAGUUUACGUAAUCGUAUCUAUGAUGUAAUAAUUUAUGCUGAACCUAACACAUGCGCAGUUCACGACGAGCUUCUCUCUCGAUCUAUUCAAUAUGGUGGUCAAUCAAGAAAUGUUUUUGCUUGCAAAAAGAUCGUAAAUUGUUGGCGCUACAAGCUCGGAAAGAUUGUAAAUGAGAUCAGGCUUUUAUCAGCUCACAGAAUAACAAGAAGGAAGCAUCCAAACAAAUUCAUUUGUAACAUGGUGGAUAACAAAGUCCUUUCUUGAAAACCUACUUCAGUCAUUUUACGAUUAAAAGUCCAGCGAGAAAUGAAGUGAAAGGCGAUUUGAAAACCACGAGAUUGUUUUUGCCAAUGUUUUGAUCUGAAGGCUUAAAGAACCAUUUUUACAAUAUUGGAGAUAUGUAGUGGAAUAAAUGCCUGGAAAGACAAUUAUUGUCUGACAAUAUAAACUAUAAAUUGAAACCGGAAUGCAAUGAUAAGAAAGGGAAAUAUGGAAUAAAUGCCUGGAAAUACAAUAUAAACUAUAAUUUUAAACUGGAAUGCAAUGAUAAGAAAGGGAAAUAAACUAUUGCUAAGUCUAAAGAACCACUGAAGCUGAAGAAUUGAGAUACAACAAUCUUUGACUGACUUUAGGUGUAAGACGUUCGCCCAGCUAUUGUAGACCGCAUGGAAUCGAUUCAAGUCCUUUAAAAAUUUGUGAAUCAAGAUGAGAAUGAACUUAGUGAAUCUAUUGGUGGCGAUCGAAGGUGGACAGCAAGAUCGAAGCUCAGCAAGAUUGAAGAUUGUUCGAAGAAGAAGGAGUUCGCCGUUGACUAAAAGGUUUAUCUGAACAGCUAGUUGUCAAGAUGAAUGCGAAGACUCGCCCGGCCAAAUUCAAAAUGGCGAUGCCAAAGAAAACCAUCCACCUGGACCGUUCGCAGACCUUUCUGGGCAAGAUUGUUGUGCUGUCUGGUCAAAGUUAAGUAUUUUACUUUGAUGUUUGUGUGCCUUCGGCUAAUUGUUGGCCAGAAAUGACAAAAAGCCAUAUACAAUAUGAAAUAUUCUGCGUACAAGGUUAUCUAAAAUUUCGAACUUAAUUCUGCCUGCAAUGAUGAUAAUUUUUUACUGAAAAUUUAUGUCAUGAGCAACUUCCGCACCUAUAGACUGAAGCAGAACUGAACAUUUUGUCAUUAACGUUUAUCUCAACAGCCAGUUAUCAAGACGAACGUCAAGAGAACAGUUGAAAUA